GCGACAAAAGCUGGAGCUGAAAUGCUUGUGAUGGCCUAUGGUAGGUCAUAUGGAUUACCUGUGAUCACGACCAGAGGAAACAAUGUUUAUGGACCUAAUCAGUUUCCUGAGAAGCUAAUUCCAAAGUUCAUUCUUUUGGCCAUGAGAGGUCAGCCUCUUCCCAUUCAUGGAGAUGGUUCUAAUGUUAGGAGUUAUCUGUACUGUGAGGAUGUUGCUGAGGCUUUUGAAGUCAUUCUUCACAAAGGAGAGGUUGGCCAUGUUUAUAACAUUGGGACAAAGAAGGAGAGAAGGGUUAUAGAUGUUGCAAAGGAUAUAUGCAGACUUUUCUCGAUGGAUGCAGAUGCAAGCAUCAAAUUUGUAGAAAACAGACCUUUUAACGAUCAGAGGUAUUUCUUGGAUGACG
rnacentral:lncRNA from 1 species